AGUUGGUCAGAGUGCAGUGGUGUUUACAACUAAUUAAUCACAACAAGUUACGGAUUCCUUUGUUCCUUCUCCACUCCCACUGCUUCAUUUGAUCAGCCUAGG
rnacentral:Y_RNA from 1 species